GCCGUCAUAGAGGGUGAGAAUCCCGUCUGGGAUGGGCGGCCGCGCCCGUGUGAAGCUCCUUCGACGAGUCGAGUUGUUUGGGAAUGCAGCUCUAAGCGGGUGGUAAAUUUCAUCUAAAGCUAAAUACUGGCCGGAGACCGAUAGCGCACAAGUAGAGUGAUCGAAAGAUGAAAAGCACUUUGAAAAGAGAGUUAAACAGCACGUGAAAUUGUUGAAAGGGAAGCGUUGUCCACCAGACUCGCCCGGGGGGGUUCAGCCGGCACCUGUGCCGGUGUACUCCUCUCCGGGCGGGCCAGCAUCGGUUUGGGCGGCUGGUGAAAGGCCCCGGGAAUGUACCACCCUUCGGGGUGCCUUAUAGCCCGGGGUGCCAUACAGCCAGCCUGGACCGAGGCCCGCGCUUCGGCGAGGAUGCUGGCGUAAUGGUGGUCAACGGCCCGUCUUGAAACACGGACCAAGGAGUCUAACAUCUAUGCGAGUGUUCGGGUGUCAAACCCGUCCGCGCAGUGAAAGCGAACGGAGGUGGGAGCCCCUCGGGGCGCACCAUCGACCGAUCCUGAUGUCUUCGGAUGGAUUUGAGUAAGAGCAUAGCUGUUGGGACCCGAAAGAUGGUGAACUAUGCCUGAAUAGGGCGAAGCCAGAGGAAACUCUGGUGGAGGCUCGCAGCGGUUCUGACGUGCAAAUCGAUCGUCAAAUUUGGGUAUAGGGGCGAAAGACUAAUCGAACCAUCUGGUAGCUGGUUCCUGCCGAAGUUUCCCUCAGGAUAGCAGUAACGACAUCAGUUUUAUGAGGUAAAGCGAAUGAUUAGAGGCCUUGGGGUUGAAACAACCUUAACCUAUUCUCAAACUUUAAAUAUGUAAGAAGCCCUUGUUGCUUAGUUGAACGUGGGCGUUAGAAUGAAACGUUACUAGUGGGCCAUUUUUGGUAAGCAGAACUGGCGAUGCGGGAUGAACCGAACGCGAGGUUAAGGUGCCGGAAUGCACGCUCAUCAGACACCACAAAAGGUGUUAGUUCAUCUAGACAGCCCGACGGUGGCCAUGGAAGUCGGAAUCCGCUAAGGAGUGUGUAACAACUCACGGGCCGAAUGAACUAGCCCUGAAAAUGGAUGGCGCUCAAGCGUGCUACCCAUACCUCGCCGUCGGGGUAGAAACGAUGCCCCGACGAGUAGGCAGGCGUGGGGGUCCGUGACGAAGCC
rnacentral:rRNA from 1 species